GACGUAGGGCGCGAGCGUUGUCCGGAUUUAUUGGGCGUAAAGAGCUCGUAGGCGGCUUGUCGCGUCGUCCGUGAAAACUCGGGGCUUAACCCCGAGCCUGCAGUGGAUACGGGCAGACUAGAGGUAGGUAGGGAGAAUGGAAUUCCCGGUGUAGCGGUGAAAUGCGCAGAUAUCGGGAGGAACACCGGUGGCGAAGGCGGUUCUCUGGGCCUUACCUGACGCUGAGGAGCGAAAGCGUGGGGAGCGAACAGG
rnacentral:rRNA from 1 species